CCCAAGUCUCAAACCAUUUUUCACUUUUUUUUAAAUUCAUAUAAAAACGCAACUUUGAAUAUUCCAAUAUUUUCUCAAAAAAAAAAAAAAAUUAAAAGUGAAUCAAGAAUGUCAUCAACAAUUUCUCAGCUCUCAUGCUUCUCCUCUAUCAAUAAAAAUUUUCUGUUACAAACUUAUCUACACCCUUGUUCUACUCUUCCUAGGAAGGUAGCGGUUGUGAGAAAUGAUGGCCAUGACAUGGAUUUAUCCAAUUUAGAAAACAGAACCACUAUAGCUUAUACUAGAGAUGCAUCACAAUCACAUAACGGAAGCUCAUCCACUUCAAAAUUAAAGUCAGAAGAACUUGUUCCAGGAAAAGAAAUGAAUGGUUCGGUGCAAGAAAACUCCAUCGGUCAUUCAAUAAAGACGGCCAAAAUUCAUGAUUUCUGUUUUGGUAUUCCCUUUGGUGGUCUUGUUUUCACUGGGGGAAUUGUUGGUUUAAUUUUCUCAAGAAACCCUGCGACUUUAAGUAAUGGUGUUCUUUUUGGAGGUGCUUUACUGGCCUUCAGCACCAUUAGCUUGAGGGUCUGGAGACAAGGAAAAUCGAGCUUGCCGUUCAUACUGGGUCAAGCAGCACUUACUGCAGUCCUUCUAUGGAAAAACAUACAGACUUUCUCUCUGACGAGAAAAGUAUUUCCCACUGGCUUUUAUGCCGCUAUCAGUGCUGCAAUGUUUUGCUUCUACUCUUAUGUGGUAUUGUCAGGGGGGAAUCCGCCACCCAAGAAGCUGAAGGUAUCUGCCGUUAGGGAAUCUUGACAAGAAUAUAGAAAGCAUAGUUCAAACAAAUGAGCUGCUAUAUUGCUUGGACUCCCCAAAAUGUUGUGUUACUCAUAUCGGAUCCUCCAAAAAUGCUGCAAAAUGCACCUGUCGGUGUCUGUAAGAGUCCGAGCAACAUAAAUGACAUGGGCCUACUGCGACACAGUUCAAACGAACGAGCUGCUAUAUUGCUUGGACUCCCUAAAAUGUUGUGUUACUCAUAUCAGAUCCUCCAAAAUUGCUGCAACAUGCACCUGUCGGCAUCUGUAAGAGUCCGAGCAACAUAAGUGACACGAGCCUAACUCAUACAUCACGUGUUAUGCUCUUACCACCGGAUCAAAGCCGUGGGACUCCUUACUAUUAGGAUGGGAUUUUUGACAAUAAUAUACGCGGUGACGUGGCAAGCUUUGAAGUAAGCCCAAGAAAACAGUCGAUGUCUGAUAUCUACAUUUGAGCCUCGACUGAUUCAGAUUCAUGUCAUGUUCAAGUUCGAACCCGAGGCCUCUAGUAAGAGUGGAGAGGAAUCUUGCUGUCCCAUCAUAUUCAGAAUCUAGUUAUGCCUGUGUUGUACUUUUAGGUGGUCUUGUAAUGUGUUCCAUUUAGUGGCUUAUUACAGUCACAAAUUUAAUGCCACUUUGACAUUGGAUAUUCUACUGAAAUAGAAUAUUCCAAUAUUUGUGGCACUAAAGUUUGGUCUCGAGUCGGGGGUCUAUCGGAAACAGCCUCUCUACCUCGCCUCAGAGGUAUUGGUACGGACUGCGUACAUUCUACCCUCUCCAGACUCCACUACACUAUGUGGAAAUAUACUCGAUAUGUUGUUAUUUGGAUUAACGGUAAGGAAAGCCGUAUGCAUGAUGUGUGAGUUAGGCGCAUGUCACGACAGAUGAUGUGAUGUGUGAUUGAGGCUCACAUCACGGGUUCAAGGGGGCAAGCCUAUUAUUCAUCGAGUUCCUAACCGUGCACCAUGGGUUGAGAAUUUCUCGAGUGUCGAUAAUGUAAGUGUUUUUUUUUUUUUUACGUAAAU